ACUGCUCAGUAACACGUCGAUAAUCUAACCUUGAGUCUGGGAUAACCUUGGGAAACUGAGGGUAAUACCGGAUAGGAGAUGGAUACUGGAAUGUUCUUUCUUUUAAAAGUAAUGCUCAAGGAUGAGUUGGCGGCCGAUUAGGUAGUUGGUGGUGUAAUGGACCACCAAGCCAGUGAUCGGUAGGGGCCUUGAAAGAGGUUGCCCCGAGAAGGGUACUGAGACACCGACCCUAGCCCCACGGGGUGCAGCAGGCGGGAAAUCUUUGCAAUGCGCGAAAGCGUGACAAGGGGAGCCUAAGUGCUUAUACUUUUUGUAUAGGCUUUUGCCAAGUGUAAAUAGCUUGGAGAAUAAGUGGUGGGCAAGACUGGUGCCAGCCGCCGCGGUAACACCAGCGCCACAAGUGGUGACCAUGUAUUUGGCCUAAAGCGUUCGUAGCCGGUUCGGUAAAUCUUUUGUGAAAUCAUUGCGCUCAACGUAAUGGCGUGCAGAAGACACUACCAAACUAGGAAUUGGGAGGAGUCAGGAGUAUUCUUGGGGGAGCGGUAAAAUGCUUUAAUCCCUUGAAGACUACCGAUGGCGAAGGCACCUGACUAGAACAAGUUCGACGGUGAGGGACGAAAGCUAGGGGAGCAAAACGGAUUAGAUACCCGUGUAGUCCUAGCAGUAAACUCUGCGAGCUAGGUGUUGCAUAAUCUUUCGUGUUUAUGCAGUAUCGGAGCGAAGGCAUUAAGCUCGCCGCCUGGGAAGUACGGUCGCAAGGCUGAAACUUAAAGGAAUUGGCGGGGGAGCAC
rnacentral:rRNA from 1 species